UCUGGGGAGCCCAUGAGGCAAUGUUUCAGCUGCCCCAACAUUCCUCAUCUCCCAUUGUUCCAGGCUCUCUCUCGGCUUCCCCGCCCCCCUGGCCAAAGUCAAGAGCACAGAUCCCUGAUCACCUGAUACCUCCAAGCAACCAGGUGUUUCUUUCAGAAGCCAGAAGCUGAUAACCUGGGCUCAAGGAUCUCACCCCCACCCGCAGCCCAUGUUCUGUGCAGUGGGAGACUUGGGGCAAAGAUUCUUUUCACAGAGAGGUGGAUGUCCACUCUCCCUUUCAAACUCAUUCAUGGGCGAACUAAAGAGAACACCAGAAAUGUUUAGAGCCACGGAAGCACCAUUGGUUUGAGUAAAUAACUGUACGAUA